rnacentral:snoRNA from 1 species
UUUUAUGAUGAAUUUGUGUUUUUAAUCUUAUCUACAUUAUCUGAAUUAAUAGCUAACAAUAGUUAUAAUGGAAGAUAAACAACUAUCAAUAAAUUCUGAAA